GGCCAAGAUAUUUAGAAGGAAAAAAAAUCAUGCAGACCCUGCAAAUUUAGCAGCAGAGACUUGAUCUUUGAUGACGAGCUUGUAGAUGCUUUUGACAACAAUGUCUUCUCCAAAGCAUACUCCUGUCAUGAAAUACAGUGUCUUCACCAGUUUCAAGAAGAUAGGAACCAAAAAUAGUCCGUAUUGGAGUGGAUGACCUCCAAGUACCGCUGGAUUUGUGAGACAGAAAGUAGAUGGCAUUACUGCUGAUGCGAAAGAGAAGUCUAAUUUGUAGCCCAGCAGGAUCCCAAAAUAUGUUCAAAAUAUUAUUUAUGACUGAAAAUUAAAAAUUAAGAGUAAAGGCAGAUUUUACUGUUUACUUAGCCAAGUCAUAAAAUAUACAAGCACAGCAAAUAUAAACAACAGCAAAACAAACUGAGCUAAGGCAUGCUUACAGCUAGCCUAAUCAUCUUAAAACUCCAAAUAUUAUCUCAUGACAGAUGGCUGCUGGAGUCUACAAAGGGCUACUCCAAAUUCUCUUCCCCAUUCCAUAAAGACCACCCCUAUUGAGGACAUUUCCAUCCAAAUGCAUUAUUAUAUAUCCUGUCUUGAAACAGAAGAUUUCAUUUCCUUGCCGCUAUUUGGUGAGUCUUGUGCUGGAAAAGGGCCUAUCACCUACCUUCCUCUGGACCAGCUUUUGCAGAUGAAUUACUCUCUACCAUGGUCUUAGAAGGAGCAGUCAAGAAUGCCUCCCUUCCUUACCAUGCUGGCCUGGGCUGUUCAUGCCAGACUGCUUGCUCUGCUCUGUGAUCUGCAGAGGACUUUCAAGCACAACCUGGAGACAGAGAGCGGGCAGGGGGCCACAGAGCUCAGCUGCAGCUGAGAAGGGGUUUUCCCUCCUGGUCCUCUGCCAGUGCCAAGGAAGCCAAGAGAAGAUGAGACCAUGCUUCUGCAAAUGCAAAUAAAGAGACCUGCAGGUACAACUUCAUCACAUGCAAUCUUACAGUUUGUUGUAAGCCACUUCCAUGCUGCGGUCAAAAAAUGAUUACAGUACUGAGUAAACACACCCAAGAGAACUUGUAAAAAGUACUGACACUGGAGUAUUGGAAUACCUCAGAGUCGAACACAGGAAAACUCUGAUGAAUUUCAAGGAAAUUCUGAUAUUUCUCACUUUAAGGGGUCAAGAUCUUGCAUGGAAGAGGGGAUGUGUGUCUAGAGAAAGUUUUAUUUGGCCUGCAGACAUGUUAUUUUGUCAUAUAUCCCAGCUUACCAAUAUACUUAGCCCCAUUCACCAAAUUUAACCACGUUUGUUGGCAGUACAGACAAUUCAUACAUAUUGUGGUACUAAAAGAUCUGGAAAAUACACUACUGGAUUAAGAAAAGACGGCAUGUUAACUGUCCAGUUGUCAGAAAAGCUGCUGUGCCUGCUCAGGGACCCUGCUAGGCACCAGAGAAUCUACUCUGACAAUUCCCCCCCUUAAAACAAGGCAUAUUCAGUUAUAUAACAAGGCAUAUAUAUUUGCAUCCAGUUCUGGGGCCCCCAACACAAGAAGGACAUGGAUCUGUUGGAGCAGGUUCUGAGGAGGGCCACAAAGAUGAUCAGAGGGCUGGACCACCUCUCCUACAAAGACAGGCUGAGAGAGCUGGGGCUCUUCAGCCUGGAGAACAGAAGGCUCUGAGGAGACCUUACAGUGGCCUACCAGUACCUGAAGGGGGUCUACAGGAAAGCUGGGGAAGGACUUUUUAGAAGGGCAGGAAGUGACAGGAGAAAUGGCUUUAAACUGGAAGAGGGCAGAUUUAGACUAGAUAUUAGGAAGAAAUUCUUUCCUGUGAUGGUGGUGAGAUACUGGAACAGGUUGCCCAGUGAGGUUGUGGAUGCCCCCUCCCUGGAAGCAUUCAAGGCCAGGAUGGAUGGGUCUGUGAGCAACCUGGUCUAGAGGGUUAAGGUCCCUUCCAACUCAAACCAUUCUACAAUUCUGUGAUACGAGGAUUCUGUGAUUCUGGUUGUCAUGAGAAGUAUUUGCAUUUUGUUUUCAUUUAGUGGCUGCUUGCUCAGGGUCUUCUGAGGGAGCUGGAUGCUUACGCUGUUUAUUUCUUGUGGUGAAAUACUUUUUCUGAGUAGAAGAUGUUGAGGAAAUGUCCCAGAUUUUACGGGAAACAAUUUUCUGGACAGCUAUAGAAUUGUCACAUCCAGUUGUUUGGAAUUAUUUUGUCACUAGCACACAUAUACUUUGUCCUCAACAAGUUGUUCUGAGCAAAUGAGAAGCACCUUAUUUUAAGGGAAACAAAGGAGAAAGCCCAUUUCAAUGAACUGAACCAUUCAUUCUCUCAUAAGUGCUUACUUCCAUCCUUCCUGACAUAUAGUGUUAGUCUAAUAACCAAUUGAUGCACAAAGGAAGAACUUCUAACAGCUUGAAAUUAACUUAGAAGUUUCCUUCUUUGCAGAGAAUAUACCAGACUGUGCAUUAUCUACAAAUGGGAACAUGGUAUUUCUGUAUUUCUGUGAAAUGACAUUGACGACACAUUUCCCCUGAUUUUGUAACUUUGUAAAUUUCUUGGAAAAUGAGGAAGAAUGAAUAAUGGUAUUGUCUCUCUUUUUUAGGCUCAGGAUAUUUCUUCUACAGUACAUUUUGUUGUAUUAUGCAAUUUGUAAAAAGUGCAGCUUGCUGAAAACAAUAUUCUUUCUCAUUUUGCACCAAGCACUUACAAGCUGAUGUUUCACAGUCAAAAGGCAGCAAGUGGAAAUGGAGUGUCAAGGUUUACAUAAUUCUGUUUUUGUCACAAUUCACAUUUUUAAGUAUUCUUCAUAUCCUUUUACUGGUGUCUUGGAAAUAAUCAUGCAGGCUCCAAUUCUUCCAUUGUACUAAGAGGUGUUUGUCAAAAGCAUCUGGGUAUUUAUAGGAAAAAAAACAGAUCCUUUGCAAGCAGGUCAGUUUUCUUCUCAGCUGGAAGAAUCACUGGGUUUCAAGAAGCUUUUACCUUCCCAUGAUGCUGCAUUUUAGCUGCCUGCAAGGCCCAGGCAAUGCACACAAGUUUGUCACAAAGAAGCAACGUAUAAGCAUGGCCAUAGAUAAUAACACAAUGCGCUUCUAUUGCUGCCGUAAUGCUGGGAUCUGGGCAUUUCUGAACAACAAAUGAAGAUGCAUUCAACUGUGCAUCUAAUCACUGAUAAAAAUGUUGAACAGGACUGGCCCUAGAAUUGAGCCCUGGGGAACGCUGCUAGUGACCACUGAUGUAAAUGUAUUAUCUAGCUUUUUAAAAUUCAGAACAAAGUUAUUUAUUAAACACAUCUUUUUUGUUUGUUUGUUUCCUUUUACAUUGCUAUUUACUUUCCUAACAAUGGGUCAAUAUCUCCAUUUUAUUUGUUUUCUUGGACUUCAUAGUGUCAUAGAGUCACAUAAUCAUUUGAGUUGGAAGGGCCCCUCAAACGCCAUCUAGUCCAACUCCCCUGCAAUAAACAGGGACACCUACAGCUCCAUCAGUGUUCAGAGCCCCGUCCAGCCUGACCUUAAGUGCCUCCAGGGAUGAGGUACCCACUACUUCUUUGGGCCCUGCCUCACCAGAUAUUUCUUCUUCAUGGUGUCAGUUUUCUCCAGGUUCCAACAUAAAAAAUAUAUAUCAAUAUAAAUCAUUAUUAAUAGUUUUCUUACUAAACCUGUUACAGAUCUAGCUAUUGUUACUGAUGCCUUCAUUGCUAAGCAUUUUGGUUCUUUUAAACAGCUUCCCAUUUUGUUCAGUUGUGGGAUUAUGCUGUCUGGGGUUAGAAGUAAACAGCUUUUAAUUUCCAUUCACAUUUUUCUGAUAUUUUUUUUUCCUCCCAGCUGAUUUACUUCAUAAUCACUUUCAGCUUCAUGAAAUCGAUCCUCUUAAAUCACAAAGGAUCUGUGCACACGCACACACAUGCAAACAUGAAGACAUGCAUGUGUAUGUGAGCAUUUCGGCGUGCGUGAGGCUGUGUUUGCAUAUAGGCACUGUACAGCCUCACACAGAUGGUUGGGAUUUUAUUAUGUUUAUACAAAGCUGCUAUAAUCAAGUCACAAACACUUGAACUGAACCACAAGUACUGGGAAAUUCCGGCACUAACUUCAUGCCUAGCGCAGAGCUGCCUCGUGCUGUCUGCAAUGCUUUCUGAAUUGUGCAACUGCCAUUUCUGAUACCCUGCAGGGCUCAGGGCAUUCAGCACUGAGUGGAAGUGUGCAGCCAGCAUUUCCCAGCCUUCUGAAGUCCUCCAUAGGAAACCUCCAGUCUUCCUCCAUGCGCUGGAGAUAGAUGCUGCUAAUUCAGUUUGGUGAGAACGACCAAUACAACUGCUCCCACUUGCUCCGGUGUCACAUCAAUCUAUAAGAAGCCAAAAGGAUGUCUGCAACCAGCAAGCCAGAAAGAAAGCUGUAUUGUUUUUCACAAUGAAUGGCAUUAACUCCUUUUCUUCCAUACAAAUAUACUCUGAAUACUUUGCUUGUUGCCUAAAUUCUUGAUCAUAGAAUCACCGAAUCAUUUGAAAUGGAAAGGACCCUUACAGGUCAUCGAGUCCAGCUCCCCUGCAAUGAACAGCAUUCAUCUGCAGUGAAUAGGGAUGUUGAUGUCGAAGAGUGGAACAGCUGAAAACUUUCUAAAUGUCUAUUCACUUUGUCUGUAGAUCUUUUAACCUUAAAUAAUUACAUAGGUCAUAUUACGUAAAUAGUAUAAGAUAAUAUUAGAAAUAAAUUAAGAUCACAGUAUAGAUAGCAUAGCAGAAUACAAAUGCAAAUUACAGAUUUCUCCAUUAUUGAAAUAUACCAAGUAAGAUGAUCAGAAAACAUUUAAGAUUCAGAAGUUGAAAUAAGCAAUAAUAAGUUGAACAAUCAAUCUGAUCAAACACAAUCAAAAGCUAUACGCUCUGUGAUCUCAGGUAGAAGAAUUUUGUAUUAGAAAUUAGAAAUAAAUACAUCUGCUUUAUGGAGAUAAAGGUAAUACAGCAUUAGAUUUUUCUGUAUACAGGGAAUAUAAAUUUUUAUCUUUGGUGAACUAAUAAAAGAAGAGUUGAACUCAUUGCUACUGUUUAAUUUUGCUUCUGUACAUAAGGGACCUUCAGCAGUUACCCAGAGAGAACCGUGAGGUGGAUUGAGAACUGUUUGGCUGGUAGAGCUCAGAGGGUUGUCAUCAGUGUGGCAGUCUGGCUGGAGGCCUGUAACUAGUGGUCUUCCUCAGGGGUUGGUAUGGGAUCUGGUCUUGUUCAACGUCUUCAUCUUCAUUCAUGACCUGAAUGAAGGGAGAGAGUCCACCCUCAGCAAGUUUGCUGAUGAUACAAAGCUGGGAAUAGCGACUGACAUGGGGACCUUAUCAAUGCUAAUAAAUAUCUAAAGGGUAGGACUCAAGUGGAUUGGUCCGAGUUCUUUUCAGUGGUACCCAGCAACACUACAAGGGGCAAUGGGCACAAACUGGAACACAGGAGGUUCCAUACAAACACAAGGAAAAAGUUCUUUAUUGUGCAGGUUACAGCACUGGAACAGGCUGCCAAGAGAGGCUGUGAAGUCUUCUCUGAGGUAUUCAAGACCCAGCUGGAUGUUUUCCUGGGCAACCUACUGUAGGGAACCUGCUUGGACUAGAGGAUCUCCAGAGGUCCCAUACAACCCCUACAAUUCUGUGAUUCUGUGAAAACAGAGAUCUUUGCAUUUUGUGAGCCAAAAAAAGGAACUGAAGACCACAAUUGCUCAUCAGAGGAACCACAUACAUGCCAGAUGUGCUUUUACCCCACUGUGAUUGUGAACUAAAAUGUUUGUUUAAAGACUAUAUUUUUAUAGAUAUUAUUGUGCUCAGAGGCAAAUGUAGCCAUGGUAAAUGUACAUUCCCAGCAUAACCCUCUCCAUGAGGGGCCAGGUAAAAAUUCAUAGAUGCAUUUAAAUGGGUUGUAUUGGGAUCACUCAGUCGUCAUCAGAGAAAGAUGAAGGAAUCUCCAAGGACACUUCUUUCCCUACCUUUCAGGAUGGAAUUAAACAACUUUCUGACAUAUCUAUUUCCCUAUAGGGAGCAUGUAGCUGUGGAUGUCAGACAUACACCACUUAGUCAGCUGAAGUAGAAAGAAUUCCACCCUAAAACAUUAAAGCAAUGAAUCCCUUUUUCUAUAAAUUACAACAAAGUAAAAUUAUGUCUAGCCUCUGUCUUUGUUAAGAGCUUGACAUACAGCAGCACUUAGGAAACUGAUUAUACUGACAGGCUAAUCAAGCAGAGUUUGUUAACUAAAUUUAUGGUAACUAUAUCACAUCUCAAGUAUUACAAAUAUGAAAAAGAGUGUGCCUUAAUCUUCUAUGUAAACAUAGUUUUCUUUUGGGCUCUUCUGAUGCCCUAAUGUUUAUAGAACCAUGUAAUAAAUCAGGACUUAUUUAUCAUAACGAACAGUAGUUCACACAGUGGUUAAAAUCGCUGUUUUCAUUAACUAUGUCAAAGAUCAAAAUAUUAUAAAGGAAGCAUUCAGAUGCAAUGACAAGAGGCGCAGUAUAUGAUCUGAAAUGAACAUGUGUUGUCAUGCACUGAUGUCUUGAACCAUAAUUACACUUCUGGGGAGCUGUCAAUACACAAGCAGAGUUUAUCACCUUCAGUAACAAUUGUGAGCUGGAACAGCUUUAACAGCAUCACAGCAUGGCUGAGGUUGGCAGGGACCCUUGGGUCCAUCUGCUCCAACCCCUGCUCUGGCAGGAAAACCCCAAGCAGGGUGCCCAGCACCACAUCCAGAUGGCUUUCCUUGAAAGCAGAACUGUCUGAAUGCACUCAGUCCCUGAAGCUGGGCUGUAUCAGAACACAACGCAUUAAACCAGCAAAAGAAGUUAAAUGGUAAAAAAGUUCAAAAUCAGUCUUACCUGAAACCCAUCAUAUCCUAAGGAGGCAAGUUCUUUUCUCCCAUCCAGCCCUUUAACUUCAGCUUUUCCCUGAAUCAACAGGUUAUGUGCCUAGACCCAACCACCUCUACCUGUUAGCCCCUGCCUUUCUCUGCUUCAUUUCUCAUGGAUGCCUUAGAUGUCAUUUCUUGCUAUGCACCAGCUACUGUCUGUCUCUCCAAAGUGCUUCUGUCUGUAGGUUGAUCAAGUACUGAGAGCUACUGUGCUCUACAGUGACAGUUCGCUGCAAGGACUGAUUAGAAAUUCAAAAAGGCAAUAAAAGCACAGUGAUUUUGAUGAAAUUCUAAUAAGAGCAUGCAUUUCUGCUUGUUUUGACUAUGCUCCGUUCUCAUCUUUAAGGAUAUUUGAAUAGCUACAGAAGUUGAUACACUUUUCACCGGUGUACGGUUGCAUUAAUCACGCUUUUGCCAUCCAGCUACUCUGUGGUCUUGUGCAAUUCAUUUCACACUCUGAACUUGUUCCCAACCUUUUCUUUCUUUCUUAUUUUUUCUGCUUAUACAGCGAUCUGGCGUUUGAUAUAUGUUUGAGAAAUGCCUGGUACAUUUUGGUCUUGAUAUUGGAUGGGUCUCCUACGAACUGCUGGAAUAUUGUCACUGUCAUCCUCAGCCAUGCUGGGUGGUUUUUGAUCCAUUGUCCCACAGUAUGUCUGAAGGUCAACGUGAACUCUGAAAGGAGUCAGACACAGCACUGACAUAUAUGAACAAUAGUUGCUCUGAAAUCUCUGGGAGUUUUGUGUACAUCUGAGGGCAGAGUUCGGGCCAUAAAGUUUAAGUACAAGCAUCUGGGCACAAUUUUCUCCAGUGAGCAGGAUUCCAAGUUACUGUAACAUCUGCUGUGGGAACUAUAAGUACUUUAUAUUAAUGUUUUACACUGUGUUAGCUAUAAUCACCUUUUUUUAUAGGAAAAAUUUAGUCAUCUCCACCUGGUGAUUCCACUGAUGUGGGCACCUGUCUGCUAGGAAUCGGGCUGAGACCAUAAAUGCAUUUCACACAAGCAAUUGAAGGGCUAUGAGACAGUAAUCUCUUUAGGUUAUAAUUUUCAAGUAACCCAUGCACAGUUUGGUUUUUCUGGGGGGAGUAUUUUUUGUUGCUUAUUUGUUUGUUGGUUUUUUUGUGUGUUUGUGAUUGUUGUUGUUUUUUUCCAGCACAAGAUCAUUUUCAGAUAAGCUCCCAUUUCUCCAUGGGGAUUUGGUUAGCUCUUCAUACUUCAUACUUUGGCAAACUGUUUGGCAAAGAGAUGAGAUGACAAAUGCGCUCACACAUAGAAAAGGAGAGAAUCUUGAGCAGUGCUGUUUGUCCUUAGCCCCCACAGAAAGCAGAGCAAUACUCCAAAACCUAUUAUUUUCUUUGAAUUGAUCUCUUACUUAUAUAUGUGAGUAUAUAACUAGUAAAGAUGUUUUCCAAUAACAUCAGUAGUGUUUUAUCUGUUUUUCUGUGCUCACUGUCAAUCUCAUUUAUGUAUAUGGCCCUGAUUAAGGAGCUCCUGACUACCUUUUGAACGGAAAGCUAAUUUUUCUCCUAUAUCCAAUCAAGAGAAUAGAGAAAAGAAGCAAACAGCCCAUGCUCAGAUGUAUGCUGCCAUUUAUAGACUGCUGUUGGUAUUUCACUUAGAUGAAAAGAAACUGGAAUUAUGCACUGUUACCUGCAGUUUUACUGCAGUUGUGAAAUAUCAUUAUAAUAAAAUAUAGGCUUUAUUUGAAUUAUAGAUGGAGAUAUAUGCAGUUAGUUAUAUAUUUUAACGGGAUAUAUUUUAGCUGGACAUAUUUUACAUAAAAAUAAGUCUUCUGAGAAUCUUCUUAUUGGUGGAGGAAUAUUUCACCUCUACUGCUUCGAUGCUCAUUUUAGUUUGAAAACUACCAUAAAGGCAUAAUAUUCAGUUGGAUUUUUUAUCUAGUUCUUACUGUCUGGCCUGUGGAAAAUGAGUGAAAGAGAAGUAAAGUUUAUCUUUUCUUGUAUUUUUAUUUAUUUAUUUAUUUAUUUAUUGUGAUACAGUGUUAAUAACCAGCACAUCAUUCCCUAUUAGCAGUAAAAAUAUGUUUAUGAAAACUGAUGAGGAUUCACUCCAUUCAGUACAAAAGUAAAUCAGGCACCAGGUUAGUCAAUGCAAAGUGCUACAGCAUCUUGAUACAGUACCAGUG
ensembl:lncRNA